UACGGAGGGUGCGAGCGUUACCCGGAUUUACUGGGUGUAAAGGGCGUGUAGGCGGUCUCUCAAGUCCGAUGCUAAAGACCGAGGCUCAACCUCGGGAGUGCGUUGGAUACUGUGAGGCUAGACGGUCGGAGAGGGCAGCGGAAUUCUAGGAGUAGCGGUGAAAUGCGCAGAUACCGAGAGGAACGCUAAUAGCGAAGGCAGCUGUCUGGACGAUUUGUGACGCUGAGGCGAGAAAGCGUGGGGAGCAAACCGG
rnacentral:rRNA from 1 species